UCUCAUUGCUUGGCUGGGCUUUAAUUGUC
rnacentral:piRNA from 1 species